GAAAAAAAAAAAAUUACAAAUCUACAUAUUAGCAGAAAUCAAUGGAAACUUGAUGCCCAUAUAAAUAAUAUUAACAGUUUUUCUUUAUAUUAUUUCAAUAUUAAUAUGAUAGCUAUUGAAUUUCUAAAACUAAAAAAACUAAAUAAAAUAUUGCAUAAGAUAUAAGAUUGGUAAUGAAAAAAAGUUCAAAAUGAUAAUUAUUUUACGCUCAUCGAACCCAAAGUAUUAUUCAAACAUACAGCAUCCCGAAAGAGCGAACCGACUAAGCCUACCCCUAAAGUACCUAAAAAUUAACUAAGUGGCGUAUUGCGUUCCAUUCCCAUACCGCAAACCGCUGCGUACCGCAUUCCAGGUAACUAUGAUCUGGGUCCCUUCUACUCUAUAAUCUGCCAAAUUAAUAACUAAAAAUGUUGCUUUAACCACCGACAGAUACUCUUCAACAUCACUGUGUGUUUAGUUACAGAUACCCCUUAUUCUUCCUGAUAACCUUAUGCCAAGCAAAAUCAUGUGCACUUCAUAUAUCUCUAGAAAAUAGUACAUUCUAUUUGUUGCCAAACCAAAAAUAAAGUAACAAGACAAUAUAUGGGGAAAAAAAUAAAGAAAAUACAAUGUGUUUAAGACAACUGACCCACAUCAACAGUAGAACAAAGCAAUAGUUUUGCUGCAGAAUCUUGAAGACCUUUGAUUUCCAGUAAGUCCCUUUACACCUAAACCUCUCUAGACUAGAACAGAUAAUAUAUCCAUCAUUUUUUCUUAGGGAUACAAGAUACGUGCACGCAUAUAAAGGUGGUCAGUGUUCUAAACAGUGUUUUUAAAGGCGCUCGAGGCGCCAGGC
rnacentral:misc_RNA from 1 species